CAUUAAGAAGCUAAUGUAGCAUUAACCUUUUAAGUUAAAGACUGAGAGUACACAACCUCUCCUUAAUGA
rnacentral:tRNA from 1 species